rfam:Myotis lucifugus cont2.58360, whole genome shotgun sequence.
GGCAGUUCUUGGGUGAUGCACCCUGGAAUCGGGCUUCCUCCUCUCUGGUUCCGGGUGCGUCACCUGAGAACCGCA